rnacentral:rRNA from 1 species
CCUACGGGGAGCAGCAGUAGGGAAUCUUUCACAAUGGGCGAAAGCCUGAUGGAGCAACGCCGCGUGCAGGAUGAAGGCCUUCGGGUUGUAAACUGCUUUUAUAAGCGAGAAAUAUGAUGGUAACUUAUGAAUAAGGAUCGGCUAACUACGUGCCAGCAGCCGCGGUCAUACGUAGGAUCCGAGCAUUAUCCGGAGUGACUGUGUGUAAAGAGUUGCGUAGGUGGCAUAAUAAGUAGCUAGUGAAAUCUGGUGGCUCAACCAUUCAGACUAUUAGCUAAACUGUUAAGCUCGAGACCGUUAGGGGUAACUGGAAUUUCUAGUGUAGGAGUGAAAUCCGUAGAUAUUAGAAGGAACACCAAUAGCGUAGGCAGGUUGCUGGGACGGUUCUGACACUAAGGCACGAAAGCGUAGGGAGCAAACGGGAUUAGAUACCCCAGUAGUC